UUGUUCUCUUCAUUUAUCACUGCAGAGUUUCUUGCUAAAUUUGGAGGGUGCCUUAGAGCUGAAAAAUGGGUGGCUGGUUCAGGAGCCGACAAAGGAGGCCCAGCCGCUGGUGCUCUCCUACAAUGGGCUGCUUCUGCUGAACGCUGCCACGCGUUGGUGCAAGGUUGGGUUCAGUGGUGCUAGAACCCAAGGCAAGGUUGGGAGCAGCGAUGCCGCCAUACAGGAAUGUCCAGGAGGUCGCCUGGUCCAGUACGAUGACUUCCUCCUCCAUGCGGCGUGGGUCCAGGGUGAUGACUUCCUCAUCCACACUGCCUGGGACAAGAACAAUGAGGUGCCUUAGGGCUGAAAGAGGUGUGGGCAGUGGGCUUAGGUUGACCUCCUCCACUUGGACGUCGAGGACAAGCACGACUUUGAGAAAUCUGCAGCAACCUUGCCUGGUGCCGGAGGCUGGCGGCGAAGAACAAGGAUGCGCGGGGAGGAGGGAAGCCGCGGGAAAUGGCAGCAGGGAGGCACAAAAGAAGAACCGUGCACCACCUGCCUAAGCUGCAGUUGUUGCUGGGUCCACGUCCAUGAGCUGCUGCCACUCUGCGACCUGUGAGGCAUUAUAUGCAACCUCUAGAGUCUGAGCCUUCUGAUGCGGAAAUUGGACCGAAGUGGCACCGCAACCAGAUACUGCAACUGUGUUUUUUUGCUCUGCAUGUUUGUAGAUGUAUGAAUGUGGUUGCAGAUAUUCUGACAUAUAUUAUCUGUAAUAUUAUAUACAUUGAUCCAUAUUAUUUGUAGUGUAAUUUGAAGAAACCAAAUCUCUAUUUUCCUUUUGGGAAGAUGGUCCUUGUGCUCGCUGUAGCUAUUCGACCACAUGAUAAUGAAC